rnacentral:rRNA from 1 species
ACACGGGGGGAGCAAGCGUUGUUCGGAAUCACUGGGCGUAAAGGGCGUGUAGGCGGUUGGAUAAGUGGAAUGUGAAAUCCCUCGGCUCACCCGAGGACCUGCAUCCCAAACUGUCCGACUUGAGUAUGGGAGAGGAUGAGGGAAUUCCUGGUGUAGCGGUGAAAUGCGUAGAUAUCAGGAGGAACACCGGUGGCGAAGGCGCUCAUCUGGCCCAAUACUGACGCUGAGGCGCGAAAGCUAGGGGAGCAAACGGG